rnacentral:rRNA from 1 species
UACGUAGGGACCAAGCGUUGUUCGGAUUUACUGGGCGUAAAGGGCGCGUAGGCGGCUUAACAAGUCACUUGUGAAAUCUCCGGGCUUAACUCGGAAACUGCCAUUGAUACUAUCUGUCUUGAAUACCGUGGAGGUCAGCGGAAUAUGUCAUGUAGCGGUGAAAUGCUUAGAUAUGACAUAGAACACCAAUUGCGAAGGCAGCUGGCUACACGAAUAUUGACACUGAUGCACGAAAGCGUGGGGAUCAAACAGG